rnacentral:rRNA from 1 species
UUGAAUUUCGGGAUCAAUAUGUCGGUCGUGCCUUCGGUACGUACUGGNNUCNCUGGUUUCUCCCUUCUGACAAACCAUGAUGUCAUUAAUUUGGUGUUAUGGGGAGUUANGACUGUUACUUUGAAAAAAUUANAGUGUUUAAAGCAUGCAUUAGCUUGAAUACAUUANCAUGGAAUAAUGAAAUAGGACGUUUGACCCUAUUUUGUUGGUUUCUAGGAUCGACGUAAUGAUUAAUAGGGAUAGUUGGGGGCAUUAGUAUUCAAUCGUCANANGUGAAAUUCUUGGAUUUAUUGAANACUAACUACUGCGAAAGCAUUUGCCAAGGAUGUUUUCAUUAAUCAA